rnacentral:rRNA from 1 species
AACGUAGGUGGCGAGCGUUAUCCGGAUUUACUGGGCGUAAAGCGUGUGCAGGCGGGCUGGUAAGUGGUGUAUGAAAUCUCCCAGCUUAACUGGGAGGGGUUAUGCCAGACUGCCAUUCUAGAGUGCGAGAGAGGAAUGUGGAAUUCCGGGUGUAGUGGUGAAAUGCGCAGAUAUCAGGAGGAACACCGGUGGCGAAGGCGGCUUGCUGGGCCUUACCUGACGCUGAGGUGCGAAAGCGUGGGGAGCAAACAGG